CCCUCUACUUGCACAGAUGAAUGGGGCAACAAUAGGAUGGGUAAACCUAUUACAGAUGAAAGGCUUCAAUAAAGAGACAUGAAACACCCUGGGAAUACAUAAGGUUGAGGGUAAAUCAAGACGAUAACUAACUGGGUUAACACAGGCCACCACCUUAUAGGGACCAAUAAACCUAAGUGCCAGUUUCAUAGAAGGUACCUUAAGGCGGAUAUGUUUUGUGCUCAGCCAGACCUUAUCACUCGGUUGAAAUACAGGAGCAGCGCGUCUAUGCAUAUCAGCAUAUUUUUUAUCUAGGUUGGAUUUGAGAGGAGAUGUUGAGCUCGCUCUCAUGUCUUC